rnacentral:rRNA from 1 species
GAGUAACGCGUGGGUAACCUGCCAUAUACAGGGGGAUAACACUUAGAAAUAGGUGCUAAUACCGCAUAAGCGCACAGUACCGCAUGGUACAGUGUGAAAAACUCCGGUGGUAUAUGAUGGACCCGCGUCUGAUUAGCUAGUUGGCGGGGUAACGGCCCACCAAGGCGACGAUCAGUAGCCGGCCUGAGAGGGUGGACGGCCACAUUGGGACUGAGACACGGCCCAAACUCCUACGGGAGGCAGCAGUGGGGGAUAUUGGACAAUGGGGGGAACCCUGAUCCAGCGACGCCGCGUGAGUGAAGAAGUAUUUCGGUAUGUAAAGCUCUGUCAGCAGGGAAGAAAGAAAUGACGGUACCUGACCAAGAAGCCCCGGCUAACUACGUG